UAACCACUCAAGCCUCGGCUUGGUAUUGGGGUCUCGCGGUCUCGCGGCCCUUAAAACCAGUGGCGGUGCCAUCUGGCUCUAAGCGUAGUAAUUCUCUCGCUACAGGGUCCAGGUGGUUGCUUGCCAAAACCCCCUAUUUUCUAUGG
rnacentral:misc_RNA from 1 species